GGCAAAAGCUCAAAUUUGAAAUCUGGUACCUUCGGUGCCCGAGUUGUAAUUUGGAGAGGGCAACUUUGGGGCCGUUCCUUGUCUAUGUUCCUUGGAACAGGACGUCAUAGAGGGUGAGAAUCCCGUGUGGCGAGGAGUGCGGUUCUUUGUAAAGUGCCUUCGAAGAGUCGAGUUGUUUGGGAAUGCAGCUCUAAGUGGGUGGUAAAUUCCAUCUAAAGCUAAAUAUUGGCGAGAGACCGAUAGCGAACAAGUACAGUGAUGGAAAGAUGAAAAGAACUUUGAAAAGAGAGUGAAAAAGUACGUGAAAUUGUUGAAAGGGAAGGGCAUUUGAUCAGACAUGGUGUUUUGUGCCCUCUGCUCCUUGUGGGUAGGGGAAUCUCGCAUUUCACUGGGCCAGCAUCAGUUUUGGUGGCAGGAUAAAUCCAUAGGAAUGUAGCUUGCCUCGGUAAGUAUUAUAGCCUGUGGGAAUACUGCCAGCUGGGACUGAGGACUGCGACGUAAGUCAAGGAUGCUGGCAUAAUGGUUAUAUGCCGCCCGUCUUGAAACACGGACCAAGGAGUCUAACGUCUAUGCGAGUGUUUGGGUGUAAAACCCAUACGCGUAAUGAAAGUGAACGUAGGUUGGGGCCUCGCAAGAGGUGCACAAUCGACCGAUCCUGAUGUCUUCGGAUGGAUUUGAGUAAGAGCAUAGCUGUUGGGACCCGAAAGAUGGUGAACUAUGCCUGAAUAGGGUGAAGCCAGAGGAAACUCUGGUGGAGGCUCGUAGCGGUUCUGACGUGCAAAUCGAUCGUCGA
rnacentral:rRNA from 1 species